UUGCGGGUUGUCACGACCAGAAGAUCGGGUCCGGAUCGGACCCAGGGGACUAAGUGCAUUGGGGAGAGAGAUUGUGUGUAAUUUGGUAAAGACGAGCCCGCAACCAGCAUCCCUUGUUAAGUCGCGAAAUGCGAGUCACAGCUGCAUGGCUGGUUGCCCGUGGUCCAGGAAGGGAACCUGUACCCUGGAAACCAACUGGUUCUCUGUCAUUAGCAGAUAACAUCACUGACAAGAAGGACAAGCAUGGGUCUUUGGUCUGUAUCCAGGAGAUGCAAGCCAUGUUUGCCUGCUGGAAGAAAUAUGACUUCAAUGAAACGAAAUGUAGUAGUGAACUAGAAGCGUUUGAAAAAUGUCAUCGCACUUAUUUGGGACAGCGAGACGCCCACACGAAGAGUUCACCGGACGGCGUUCUCGGUCACGGCUCGGACCAGAAGCUCACGGCCCGUCAGGCAAACUUGCUCCUCAAACUGUAUCCGAACCCUAGAUAGCAGAUACAUGAUAAGCCUCGCGUACGUGAGUGUGCAUUGUGGUAGAUGUGCUACGCGACGAUGUCGAUGUUUUGUACUUUCAUGAAUGAGUUUUUUCGCAUUGUGUAUGAAUGUGAUGUGUGCUUAUUGUUUAAGCAAAUGUGUCACCUUGAGGAAAUGAAAUAUUAACGGUGA